UCGAGAAUUUUUCUCAAUGGGGGAAACCCUGAAGGAGCGACGCCGCGUGAAGGAUGAAGGUCUUCGGAUCGUAAACUUCUGUCAUUAGAGAACAAUAUGCAUCUAUUAACUGUAGGUGCAUUGAUAGUAUCUGAAGAGGAAGGGACGGCUAACUCUGUGCCAGCAGCCGCGGUAAUACAGAGGUCCCAAGCGUUGUUCGGAUUCAUUGGGCGUAAAGGGUGCGUAGGUGGUGCCGUAAGUUGGAUGUGAAAUCUCGGAGCUUAACUCCGAAACUGCAUUCAAUACUACGGUGCUGGAGUACUGGAGAGGAGAUUGGAAUUUACGGUGUAGCAGUGAAAUGCGUAGAUAUCGUAAGGAAGACCAGUGGCGAAGGCGGAUCUCUGGACAGUUACUGACACUGAGGCACGAAGGCCAGGGGAGCAAACGG
rnacentral:rRNA from 1 species